AAACUGCUGGAAGGUGUUUACUCGAUCAUGGGAAUCGACGGCCAUCAAUGAACGAUAUAGUGACACAACUCGAGGCUGCAUUAGAGCAGCAAGAAGUCACAGAAGGUAAGGUGCUCAACUCCUAAGGAGCUGACUCAAUACAUAUCGAUAUCCAGUCAGAGAGUCAAUAAUUCUAGGAUUCAACACGAGUCGAAUGCGUUUCAACGACUAUUAUCGUACUUGUUUCUGAUUUACCGCAAUGCACACCCUAAAUAUAGAAUUUAUUUAUCUUGAUUUCUUGAAUGAAAUAUUAGCUACUAUGUUCAUACAUUCUUCGUCCUCCCACCCUCAAAUGUUUGUUUUACACUACAAAAGUGAACAUCGAGAUCCGAAAAGGUCAGGAAAUUAUCAUAAACUGAAUUUAAAGCCCAGCAUUUCUCUCUUAUGAUUUUGAGUACCAAAUGAAUGAACUAAACAAAUUCAGGUGCUAGAACACAGUCAAAAUGAGAGAAGAACAAAAAUUUAAAUAUAAUUAACUACUCAUUCAUUUCAACUUCAAACACCAGCACACAGAUGCACACAGCGAAUUCCUUUCAUCAUUUUCAAAAUUACAUCAUUAUCAAAAUCCAAUUUGAAUCUAGACCAUCGAUAACACGAGCAAUUCAUAGAAGAUUAAAAAAAAAUAACGAAUCGGUUUAAAAUUCAAAGGAAGCACAUACAAAUUUCUGUAUUCAGCGUCGCAAAACUAGCAGAAGAAAUCCACAAAACUUGCAAUCUGUCAGGGCCCUAGGGAAGAACUGGAAUUGGGGUCGAAAAGGAAGAAGAAACCCUAGGGCUCGAAUUAGGGGAAUUGGGGAAAUUGUUAGCAUAGAAACGACACCGUUUGUUACAAUGAAGUUAAU
rnacentral:lncRNA from 1 species